UGUUAAAUAGAGCUGUAAUAGCGUUUUCAUUGUUAAUGAAAUGAA
rnacentral:tRNA from 1 species